rnacentral:rRNA from 1 species
AUUGAACGCUGGCGGCAGGCCUAACACAUGCAAGUCGAGCGAGCGGCGGACGGGUGAGUAAUGUAUGGGGACUGCCCGAUAGAGGGGGAUAACUACGGGAAACGGUGGCUAAUACCGCAUACUAUCGGAUAACCCAUAUGGGAUUAGCUAGUAGGUGGGGUAAAGGCUCACCUAGGCGACGAACUCUAGAUGGUCUGAGAGGAUGAUCAGCCAAACUGGACGUGAGACACGGCCCCGACUCCUACAGAGGCAGCAGUGGGGAAUAUUGCACAGUGGGCGCAAGCCUGGUUCAGCCAUCCCGCUGGUAGAAAGAAGGCCUUAGGGUUGUAAAGUACUUUAAGCGGAGAGGCGUUACGCGCAGAAGAAGCACCUGCUAAUUCCGUGCCAGCCGCCGCGGUAAUAC